CCCCUUUCCCUGGAAGUUCCCUCAGCCAGCAGCAUCCUUUCCUCCUGUGCUCCACCUAAACUGUUUCUCCUGUUCCUUUUCCCUCCAGAUCGCUACACAAUGUCAUGUCUCCUGAGACUUCCUCUGGGGCCUUCCAGGCAGAAGUAUGAUCCUUCUCUGGUCCCUCACCUUAGCUGCCUGAAAGCCAGGCUUCCACCAGGAGCCUUCAGAUGAAGAUGGAGAACUCUCAGCAACUUCUGCACCAUGCCUGCCUCGAUGCUGCCAUGCUCCUGCCUUGAUGAUAAUGGACUGAACCUCUGAACCUGUAAGCCAGCCCCCAAUUAAGUGUUGUCCUUAUAAGAGUUGCCUUGGUCAUGGUGUCAGUUCACAGCAGUAAAACCCUAACUAAGACAUCCUCUAAUGUAAUAAAAAGCUAUUUUUGUUAUUCCACAUA
rnacentral:lncRNA from 1 species